GCAACCGAUGAAUUAUUGAAAACCACAUCUGAAACUAAUGAUGUACCAUAUGUUGGCUAAUUGAAUUGAAAUUUAAAAAAAGUCUCAAUGAUGACUCCCAUUACUAUUACUUCUAGUACCAGUGGCUACCAUAUGAACCCCAACCUUACAUAUAUUACACAUAGGCCUUUACAUACAAGAUUUUCAAACUUUGCAAAACCUUCCAAGGUAGGUAUGAAUUAGAACCAUAUCAUGGGUGGAAAAACUGAGGCUUGGAGGGACUAAACAACUUGGCUUUAUUCCAGCUUGGUAAUAGAUGGAGAUGGAAUGGGUAUCUCCUCAAAACCUAUGGCUCCCCCACAAGACCCACUCCACACCCUAGUUCUGUUAAUUUUGGUGUGAUGGUGUUAAUUUUUCACUCCACCAUUAGCUAGAAAAUUGGUCUCCAGCUCUUCAAUGAAGACUUUGCACUGGGGGCACCUGGGUGGCUCAAUGGGUUAAGCAUCUGCCUUCAGCUCAGGUCAUUAUCCUGGGGCCUUGGGAUGGAGCCCCAUAUUGGGCUUUCUGCUCAGUGGGGAGUCUGCUUCUCCUUCUCCCUCUUUCCCUACCUCCGCUUGUGUUCUCUCUCUCAAAUAAAUUAAUAAAAUAUAUUUUUUAAAAAAGACUUUGCCGUGAAGAGGUUUUAGGUAACCAGCAUGGAACAAUGGGCCAUUGUCACAGUGUACAAUUCACAGGCUGGGAAAUUGAGGUCCUAAGAAAUGAAGUAACUUUCUCAGCUACAUAAAAUAAAUCAAUAGAGAAGGCAGUGUGGUGACUUGCCAUGUUUCCCAACUUCUAUCAUGAUGAACAUCACCUAGAGUGGCUGUUAAAAUGCUGAUUCCUGGGUCAUACCUCAUUUCUACCAAGCCUUGUCUCUAGGUAUGGGGCCCCAGAACGUGUCUUUUUAAAAAAUAUCUCCAGCUUUAUCUGAUCUUUGGGACACGGGAGAAGCUGUCAUCUGGGGCCAUCCAAUUUAAGCUCAGCAGGGCUCAGCAGUACUUCACUACAGCUCACUGCUGGGUACAAAUGUGCUCCAUUAAUUUUUCAUUUUUCUGGAACUACUGAAUUACCUUUGGGGGCUCUUCCCAUGAAAGCAGCACAGGUUGGGAAGCAAAGCGUCCAGAGGUUGUACCUGAAAACAUUCCUCGCCCCGACUCUGCAUCAGAGUCCUGAAAACCUGGGGUUCCCCUGGGAGGACUUUUGGCUAUGAUAUCUCAGUAGGUGCUGCGCCUCUGGCUGGUCUCUAGUUAAAAGCUAAAACUUUUUAUUCCAACUGGUGAUUUUCCUCUCUGGGCCAGGCUGAGGCUCAUGUUUCUAUAAGCAGAGCCCUGGUUGCUAGGUGACAACCUGGCUCCCGGUUCUGGAGGCUGCAGAGGCAGAAAUGAACCAAAGAGAUUUGAAGCUUCCACUUUGAAGACAGAAUAUGAAACCUAAAAGAGGAGAUAAGACCCUAACUUAAUUGGAGGGUUAUAUAACAACCAGGCGAGGUUCUCAUGUCCUCCCUGCCACCCUGCCAAGACCAGUGGGAUAUAUUUAAAUGCAUUUUUCAAAAUAGGAGAAAAGUAGGAAGUCGAACUGAUAAAUAUAGUUGGCUCUUUUGACUGGGAGAGGAAACUUCUAAUUACAUCUCUUUUCUAAGCUCCAUCAAUCAGAUCUACACCUUCAUUAGCCUCUGAGUCAUUAGUGGAACUUAUUAAAACAAUUAGAUCUGCAGAGAACUGCAGCCAUCAGCAUUUCUGACAGCUGCGUCGGGGAUUUAAACUUUUCAUUAAAAUUGGAUGGAGCCUCUUGCAAAUCAAUAAGAAAUAGCUGAGCGUUCCAAGUGAAAAAUGAG
rnacentral:lncRNA from 12 species